rnacentral:rRNA from 1 species
CAGAGGUGGCAAGCGUUGUUCGGAUUUAUUGGGCGUAAAGGGUCCGUAGGCGGUUCGGAAAGUCAGAUGUGAAAUCCCACAGCUCAACUGUGGAACUGCAUUUGAAACUUCCAGACUAGAGUAUGAGAGGGGUAAAGGGAAUUCCCGGUGUAAGGGUGAAAUCUGCAGAGAUCGGGAGGAACACCAGUCGCGAAGGCGCUUUACUGGCUCAUUACUGACGCUCAGGGACGAAAGCUAGGGUAGCAAACGGGAUUAGAUACCCCGGUAGUCCUAGCCGUAAACUAUGGUCACUAGGUGUUGGAGGGGUUAAACCUUUCAGUGCCGACGCUCACGCAUUAAGUGACCCGCCUGGGGAGUACGGUCGCAAGGCUG